rnacentral:rRNA from 1 species
AUCAACUUUCGAUGGUAGGAUAGAGGCCUACCAUGGUGGUAACGGGUAACGGGGUGUUAGGGCACGACACCGGAGAGGGAGCCUGAGAAACGGCUACCACAUCCAAGGAUGGCAGCAGGCGCGCAAAUUACCCAAUCCCGACACGGGGAGGUAGUGACAAUAAAUAACAAUACGGGGUCCUUUAGGGUUUCGUAAUUGGAAUGAGUACAAUUUAAAUCUCUUAACGAGGAACAAUUGGAGGGCAAGUCUGGUGCCAGCAGCCGCGGUAAUUCCAGCUCCAAUAGCGUAUAUUAAAGUUGUUGCAGUUAAAAAGCUCGUAGUUGAAUUUCGGGAUUAGUACGUUGGUCGUGCCUUAGGUACGUACUGGUGUUACUGGUUCCUACCUUCUGACGAACCAUCAUGUCAUUAAUUUGGUGUGGCGGGGAAUCAGGACUGUUACUUUGAAAAAAUUAGAGUGUUUAAAGCAGGCUCGCGCUUGAAUACAUUAGCAUGGAAUAAUGAAAUAGGACGUUGACCCUAUUUUGUUGGUUUCUAGGAUUGACGUAAUGAUUAAUAGGGAUAGUUGGGGGCAUUAGUAUUCAAUUGUCAGAGGUGAAAUUCUUGGAUUUAUUGAAGACUAACUACUGCGAAAGCAUUUGCCAAGGAUGUUUUCAUUAAUCAAGAACGAAAGUUAGGGGAUCGAAGACGAUCAGAUACCGUCGUAGUCUUAACCAUAAACUAUGCCGACUAGGGAUCGGAUGAUGUUAAUUUUUUAAUGACUCAUUCGGCGCCUUACGGGAAACCAAAGUGUUUGGGUUC